GCGCCUGUAGCUCAGAGGAUAGAGCGCCGGCCUCCGGAGCCGGGUCUUGCGCAGGUUCGAUUCCUGCCAGGCGCACCA
rnacentral:tRNA from 2 species